GAUGAAGAACGCAGCGAAAUGCGAUAAGUAGUGUGAAUUGCAGAAUUCAGUGAAUCAUCGAAUCUUUGAACGCACAUUGCGCCCCUUGGUAUUCCAUGGGGCAUGCCUGUUCGAGCGUCAUCUACACCCUCAAGCUCUGCUUGGUGUUGGGCGUCUGUCCCGCCCCCGCGCGUGGACUCGCCCCAAAUCCAUUGGCAGCGUUCCUUGCCCCCUCUCGCGCAGCACAUUGCGCUUCUCGAGGGCGGCUCCGGGACGCGAUCCAGCAAGAUGACCACCGUCUUUGACCUCGGAUCAGGUAGGGAUACCCGCUGAACUUAAGCAUAUCAAUAAGGGAGGA
rnacentral:misc_RNA from 1 species